rnacentral:rRNA from 1 species
UACAGAGGUCCCAAGCGUUGUUCGGAUUCAUUGGGCGUAAAGGGUGCGUAGGCGGCGCGGUAAGUCGGGUGUGAAAUCUUGGAGCUUAACUCCGAAACUGCAUUCGAUACUGCCGUGCUUGAGGACUGGAGAGGAGACUGGAAUUUACGGUGUAGCGGUGAAAUGCGUAGAUAUCGUAAGGAAGACCAGUGGUGAAGGCGGGUCUCUGGACAGUUCCUGACGCUGAGGCACGAAGGUCAGGGGAGCAAACGGG